rnacentral:rRNA from 1 species
AACGAACGCUGGCGGCAUGCCUAACACAUGCAAGUCGAACGAGACCUUCGGGUCUAGUGGCGCACGGGUGCGUAACGCGUGGGAACCUGCCCUUAGGUUCGGAAUAACUCCCCGAAAGGGGUGCUAAUACCGGAUAAUGUCUUCGGACCAAAGAUUUAUCGCCUUUGGAUGGGCCCGCGUUGGAUUAGCUAGUUGGUAGGGUAAAAGCCUACCAAGGCGACGAUCCAUAGCUGGUCUGAGAGGAUGAUCAGCCACACUGGGACUGAGACACGGCCCAGACUCCUACGGGAGGGAGCAGUGGGGAAUAUUGGACGAUGGGCGAAAGCCUGAUCCAGCAAUGCCGGGUGAGUGAUGAAGGCCUUAGGGUUGUAAAGCUCUUUUACCCGGGAUGAUAAUGACAGUACCGGGAGAAUAAGCUCCGGCUAACUCCGUG